rnacentral:rRNA from 1 species
GUACGCUUCUUUUUCACCGGAGCUUGCUCCACCGGAAAAAGAAGAGUGGCGAACGGGUGAGUAACACGUGGGUAACCUGCCCAUCAGAAGGGGAUAACACUUGGAAACAGGUGCUAAUACCGUAUAACAAUCGAAACCGCAUGGUUUUGAUUUGAAAGGCGCUUUCGGGUGUCGCUGAUGGAUGGACCCGCGGUGCAUUAGCUAGUUGGUGAGGUAACGGCUCACCAAGGCCACGAUGCAUAGCCGACCUGAGAGGGUGAUCGGCCACAUUGGGACUGAGACACGGCCCAAACUCCUACGGGAGGCAGCAGUAGGGAAUCUUCGGCAAUGGACGAAAGUCUGACCGAGCAACGCCGCGUGAGUGAAGAAGGUUUUCGGAUCGUAAAACUCUGUUGUUAGAGAAGAACAAGGAUGAGAGUAACUGUUCAUCCCUUGACGGUAUCUAACCAGAAAGCCACGGCUAACUACGUGCCAGCAGCCGCGGUAAUACGUAGGUGGCAAGCGUUGUCCGGAUUUAUUGGGCGUAAAGCGAGCGCAGGCGGUUUCUUAAGUCUGAUGUGAAAGCCCCCGGCUCAACCGGGGAGGGUCAUUGGAAACUGGGAGACUUGAGUGCAGAAGAGGAGAGUGGAAUUCCAUGUGUAGCGGUGAAAUGCGUAGAUAUAUGGAGGAACACCAGUGGCGAAGGCGGCUCUCUGGUCUGUAACUGACGCUGAGGCUCGAAAGCGUGGGGAGCAAACAGGAUUAGAUACCCUGGUAGUCCACGCCGUAAACGAUGAGUGCUAAGUGUUGGAGGGUUUCCGCCCUUCAGUGCUGCAGCUAACGCAUUAAGCACUCCGCCUGGGGAGUACGACCGCAAGGUUGAAACUCAAAGGAAUUGACGGGGGCCCGCACAAGCGGUGGAGCAUGUGGUUUAAUUCGAAGCAACGCGAAGAACCUUACCAGGUCUUGACAUCCUUUGACCACUCUAGAGAUAGAGCUUCCCCUUCGGGGGCAAAGUGACAGGUGGUGCAUGGUUGUCGUCAGCUCGUGUCGUGAGAUGUUGGGUUAAGUCCCGCAACGAGCGCAACCCUUAUUGUUAGUUGCCAUCAUUUAGUUGGGCACUCUAGCAAGACUGCCGGUGACAAACCGGAGGAAGGUGGGGAUGACGUCAAAUCAUCAUGCCCCUUAUGACCUGGGCUACACACGUGCUACAAUGGGAAGUACAACGAGUCGCGAAGUCGCGAGGCUAAGCUAAUCUCUUAAAGCUUCUCUCAGUUCGGAUUGUAGGCUGCAACUCGCCUACAUGAAGCCGGAAUCGCUAGUAAUCGCGGAUCAGCACGCCGCGGUGAAUACGUUCCCGGGCCUUGUACACACCGCCCGUCACACCACGAGAGUUUGUAACACCCGAAGUCGGUGAGGUAACCUUUGAGCCAGCCG